UACGAAGGAUGCAAGCGUUAUCCGGAUUUAUUGGGUUUAAAGGGUGCGUAGGCGGUCUUAUAAGUCAGUGGUGAAAUCUUAUCGCUUAACGAUAAACGUGCCAUUGAUACUGUAGGACUUGAGUACAGAUGCCGUUGGCGGAAUGUGUCAUGUAGCGGUGAAAUGCAUAGAUAUGACACAGAAACACCGAUUGCGAAGGCAGCUGACGAAACUGUAACUGACGCUGAUGCACGAAAGCGUGGGGAUCAAACAGG
rnacentral:rRNA from 1 species